UCCUACGGGGGGCAGCAGUGGGGGAUAUUGCACAAUGGGGGAAACCCUGAUGCAGCGACGCCGCGUGAGCGAUGAAGUAUUUCGGUAUGUAAAGCUCUAUCAGCAGGGAAGAAAAUGACGGUACCUGACUAAGAAGCCCCGGCUAACUACGUGCCAGCAGCCGCGGUAAUACGUAGGGGGCAAGCGUUAUCCGGAUUUACUGGGUGUAAAGGGAGCGUAGACGGCAGUGCAAGUCUGAAGUGAAAGUCAAGGGCUCAACCCUUGGACUGCCUUGGAAACUGCGCUGCUCGAGUGUCGGAGAGGCA
rnacentral:rRNA from 1 species